rnacentral:rRNA from 1 species
AAGCUCAAAUUUGAAAUCUGGCGUCUUCGACGUCCGAGUUGUAAUUUGAAGAAGGCGACUUUGUAGCUGGUCCUUGUCUAUGUUCCUUGGAACAGGACGUCAUAGAGGGUGAGAAUCCCGUGUGGCGAGGAUCCCAGUUAUUUGUAAAGUGCUUUCGACGAGUCGAGUUGUUUGGGAAUGCAGCUCUAAGUGGGUGGUAAAUUCCAUCUAAAGCUAAAUAUUGGCGAGAGACCGAUAGCGAACAAGUACAGUGAUGGAAAGAUGAAAAGAACUUUGAAAAGAGAGUGAAAAAGUACGUGAAAUUGUUGAAAGGGAAGGGCAUUUGAUCAGACAUGGCGUUUGCUUCGGCUUUCGCUGGGCCAGCAUCAGUUUUAGCGGUUGGAUAAAUCCUCGGGAAUGUGGCUCUGCUUCGGUAGAGUGUUAUAGCCCGUGGGAAUACAGCCAGCUGGGACUGAGGAUUGCGACUUUUGUCAAGGAUGC